GUUUCUAUCAUAUAAAUUUUGAAAUCCUUCUCGGUCGGUAUCGCUUUUAGAUUUUGUGCAUCGCCAAGCGCUGUUGUUAUAUCAAAACAAGAUACCUACAAAUCGCAAUAUUAAUUGAAAUAAAAUAUUGAUAAUAAAUGUUGUUGAGAGAAAUAAAUAUUUGGCUGAUUAAUCAUUAGGUAAAGUAAUGGCUGUUUUACAUUGUCAUUAUCAUCUUCAUAGUCAGUUUUGUGUACAUCCUGGAAAUAAAAUUUAUAUUUUAAGAAUAAUAUUAAAAUAUUACAAAUAAAUUAA